AAACACAUUAUAUAUAGAGGACAGAGUACAAGUAAAAGGAAGAUAUAUUUGCCUGAAUUUGUUAACUUCAAUAAUUCAACAAUUCUAUCAAUGGUUGCCACAUAAAUCAUGCUAGAAGUGAAAACAGCACCAAGAGUAGGUGCAUGAGCAUCAUUCCUAUAGCAAGGAGUCAUGAGGAACACAAGCUUCUACUGAUCAGGUGGUGGAGUAGUGCGAAGAGCAUGUCUUAUACAACGGAAAGCUCUUUCCCAUUCCAAACUUCCUCUCUGAAUAGAAUUUGGAAGGUCCUCU
rnacentral:misc_RNA from 1 species